ensembl:lncRNA
GAUAAACAACUUUUUUUGUAUAAUCACAACAACGGAACUUCCAGAAGCGAACUUCAGAACGUUCAGGUUUAGACGAAAAUCCAUUUAAUACCCGACUCAGGUGAACCCCUCUGGCCCCUGUUCGCUGACCGCCCUGUCGUCCAGAGGGCCCUCGACGACGUGGUUCUUCCGGAUUACGAGGACGAGCUGAAGGAGGCCGAGCCCACCAGAGGGGACGGUGAGCCACAGGUUCCUCCUCCUCCUCCCUUUGCUGCUCCCUACCCUGCUCCCUACUCUCACCCCUAUGCUGCUGCACGCUAUGCUGCUGCUCCCUACCCUGCUCCAUACCCUGCUCCCUAUGCUGCUCCCUCUUCUGCUGCUCCCUUUGCUGCUCCCUACCCUGCUCACUACCUUGCUCCUUACCCUGCUCCCUACUCUCACCCCUAUGCUGCUGCACGCUAUGCUGCUGCUCCCUACCCUGCUCCCUACUCUCACCCCUAUGCUACUGCUCGCUAUGCUGCUGCUCCCUACCCUGCUCCCUAUGCUGCUCCCUAUGCUGCUGCUCCCUUUGCUGCUCCCUACCCUGCUCGCUACGUUGCUCCUUACCCUGUUCCCUACUCUCACGCCUAUGCUGCUGCUCCCUAUGCUGCCGCUCCCUAUGCUGCUCCCUAUGCGGCUCCCUAUGCUGCUGCUCCCUAUGCUUAUGCUUUUGCUGCCUUUGCUGACCUUAACGCUGACCCUCACGCUGACCUUAACGCUGACCCUCACGCUGACCCUCAUGCUGACCUUAACGCUGUCCCUCAUGAUGGUGAUGAUGAUAUGAACGAUGAAAUUAACCGUAUGCUUCAAAGAUACAGGUUAGGGCUCCCCGAUGAGGAGGAGGACUCUGACAUUGAUGUCGUGGGUGAGUUUGCGUUACAGGUCCCUUUACUGGACAUUGAAGACAUCGGGCCAGUGCCCCCAGAAGACUCUUUUGAGGAGCUCCUGGAUGCAGAUGUUCUUGAAUCUCCCUCAACUUCUGGCCUCGACUCUUCGGCAAAACGGCGCAGGGACGAGAGCGACGGGGAGGAGUCUGCUGCGAAGAGGGCGCGUUAGUCUGAAGACAGCGACUCUGAUUGACAAUCCUCUGGGAAGCUUCGGAGCAACCACUGAGUCCACUUGCAGCAGGAACAGUGGUUGCCAUGGUAGCCUUUGCGUCUGGCAGGGCUAGUGUCCCCCAUGUAGCGUCUUGCAUUGGGGCUUUUCUGUAUUAUGUAGUCAUAUUUGCACAAGACAUCGGUCAACCUUUAUUUCAUCCUGAGGCCUUUGCGUCUGGCGGGGCUGUUGACCCCUUCUGCAGGUACUGGUAUCCUUUGCGUCUGGCAGGGCUUGUGUCCCCCAUGUAGCGUCUUGCUCUGGGGCUUUUCUUCUUCUUUGCGCGGUGGAUCGAUCAACUUUUCUUUCAUCCUGACGGCCGGCCUUUGCGACUGGCUUGGCCGGCGCUGCCUCAGGUAGCCUUUGCGUCUGGCAGAGGCGUUGACACGCCGAGCAUGUAGCCUUUGCGUCUGGCAGGGUUGAAGAAGACAAAAAUGCUUUUAUGUCUCGUUUUAUGCCUCCCCCUCCCCCACAGUGUCCACAUUCCUUUACAGGUUAAGAGUGAAGGUAUCAGUGAAAACUGACAAACAACAGAGUAAGUAGAACUCCCAAGGUUAGAAAUGCCUUCAUAUGGCCAAAUAUAGUGUAUGCCGUUAUGGAAAUUCAUAAUAUUCAAAUAUUUAUAAUUACUUCCCAUACUAAUCAUGUUUUUAUCCCAUUUGGCCGUGUGAAAAAGUAAGUACCAGCGUCUGUUUUGUUCAGACAGUGACCUAUAACAUGAAUACAAAGAAGUAAUAUGCAAAGAUAAUUUGCCCGUGCCACUUACCAUUAUGUGUUGUUACCUCUCUCACUUUGCCACCUGAGAUGCUGCUGUUCAAUGUGGACGAAAAAGGUAAGUAACUUAGAAUAAUCUGUAACCUACAGGCAACGUUAGAAGUAGGUUCUUUUAUUCUAUUGUAAAUCUGUUUAUGCACUUUGUAUGUUGACUCUAUUAUGCAAAUAUUGUUUUUACUAACCAAUACUUUAACCACGCUCCAACUGAGCUGCUGCUGUUCACCGAGGACCAAAAGGCCGCUACCUCUCGCUGUGGACUAAAAGAUGAGUAAGAGUAUCUGACUUCUGUAAUAUGUAUAUAAAGUAAUGUGUGUUAUUGUGUAAACUAGCUCUUUGUGCACCUCAGUAUCCUUAAACUGUCACUAAUUCAAUAACUCAAAGGUGUUUGUGCCCCAGACAGAAAAGUGUCAAUAGUGAAUGAUAACAUCAAUAUUUAGGUAUAUUUGCUGGCCUUUCUCACUAUGACGUCCACACAGGGAGCAGCAAAGGAGGAAGAGCCGGACUCCGGGUUCCUGCAGGACAUCCAGGGCUACACGUUGAACACUAAAAAGAAACGCCCACAUUCCACUCCCAGGACAAGAUGGAGAGCAGCUAAGUUGAACUACUUCCUGUUCUUCUGUUUCAGAGACUCAACUUCCUGCACUACAUCCAGGGUGACCAUGACGACAGAAGACAAUCGCUCACUCCCGACCAGGGCAGCACUCCUGUUUUAUCCUUUGGAAAUCCUCGUGGUCCUGAGAGUGGAUGUAAACAGAAGUGCAAGCAGCCGUCCACUCAGAACAUUUCUCCACCUCACUGUUUAGAUGAAGAAUUCAAUAAAACACUUCUCAUAGAACCCUUUUGUUUUGGGAGAUUUCUUUGGUUCAAUCUCAUGUUCAUGUGAACCUUUUGGAGCGUUGAAUCGGUCGCAG